rnacentral:rRNA from 1 species
UAACACAUGCAAGUCGAACGCUGAAGCUCAGCUUGCUGGGUGGAUGAGUGGCGAAAGGGUGAGUAACACGUGGGUAAUCUGCCCUGUACUUCGGGAUAAGCCUGGGAAACUGGGUCUAAUACCGGAUAGGACGCAUCCUCGCAUGGGGGUGUGUGGAAAGUUGCUGCGGUAUGGGAUGAGCCCGCGGCCUAUCAGCUUGUUGGUGGGGUGAUGGCCUACCAAGGCGGUGACGGGUAGCCCGCCUGAGAGGGUGACCGGCCUCACUGGGACUGAGACACAGCCCACACUCCUACGGGAGGCAGCAGUGGGGAAUAUUGCACAAUGGGCGCAAGCCUGAUGCAGCCACGCCUCGUGGGGGAUGACGGCCUUCGGGUUGUACACCUCUUUCUCCCGGGACGAAGCGGAAGUGACUGUCCCGGGAGAAGAAGCACCGGCUGACUACGUGCCAACUACCACGGUAAUACAUAGGGUGCAAGCGUUGUCCUGAAUUAUCUGGGCGUAUAGAGCUCGUAUGCUGUGUGUCACGUCUGCCGUGAAAAUCUGCGGCUUAACCGUGAGGCGUGCCGUGGAUACGUGCAUCACUUGAGUUCCGACCGGGAGACUGGGAAUUCUUGGUGUAGCCGGUGGCACUCGCAGAAAUCAGUAAGAACAGCGGGUGUCGAACGCGGGUCUCUGAGCCCGAUACUGACGGUGAGGAGUUAAAGCGUGGGAGCGAACUGGAUUAGAUACCCCUGGUAGUCCUCUCUGUAUCCGUUGAGCGCUAGGUGUGUCGUGCUGUUCACGUGUCUCGUGCCGUAGCUCACGCAUUAAGCGCCUCGCCUGGGGAGUACGGCCGCAAGGCUAAAACUCAAAGGAAUUGACGGGGGCCCGCACAAGCGGCGGAGCAUGUGGAUUAAUUUGAUGCAAUGCGAAGAACCUUACCUGGGCUUGACAUGCAUCAGACAGGCGUAGAGAUACGUCCUCCCUUGUGGUUGGUGUACAGGUGGUGCAUGGCUGUCGUCAGCUCGUGUCGUGAGAUGUUGGGUUAAGUCCCGCAACGAGCGCAACCCUUGUCUCAUGUUGCCAGCGGGUUAUGCCGGGGACUCGUGGGAGACUGCCGGGGUCAACUCGGAGGAAGGUGGGGAUGACGUCAAGUCAUCAUGCCCCUUAUGUCCAGGGCUUCACACAUGCUACAAUGGCUGGUACAGAGGGUGGCGAUGCCGUGAGGUGGAGCGAAUCCCUUAAAGCCGGUCUCAGUUCGGAUCGUAGUCUGCAACUCCACUGCGUGAAGUCGGAGUCGCUAGUAAUCGCAGAUCAGCAACGCUGCGGUGAAUACGUUCCCGGGCCUUGUACACCCCCCC